UACCUCAUCGACUGGAAGGAAUCCCUUCCGGUUGAUGAGGAAGAUUUACCUCAUCAACCAGAGGAGAGUCCUUCCAGUCAAUGAGGAG
rnacentral:miRNA from 1 species